rnacentral:lncRNA from 1 species
AGCUUAUCAGGGCUUGUACUUUAUCAGCUUCGCGAUCCGUGCAACACGGCGCAUGGUUACAACCUAUAGCAAAAUGGACUCGUAGCUUGUAUGAUCAUUGUGCGUGCAGGUUGCGGUCUGCCCCGACUGCGCCUCACUAGUACCAGUGGUCAUUUGAUCUGCACCGUGUAGUUUCAAUUUUGACGACGAGAGAACGCGAUUGUUACAGUGGACCCCGAACUGUCGAGUGCAGCACCCCUAGGAACACCUCCCGCACAACACUGUGGGCCUUAUUCACAAAGAACUCGGCCAGGCCGUACUAACUUCACUGGACACAAGGCCUCAGUUAGUACGCUCAAACAGAAAAG